CCAGUGCUCGUAGCUUUUGGCAUAGAAACAUCCAUAAGUUGGAAAAUGUUCGCGGAAAUUUUGAACCCAAGGUCCUGAUGGUGUUGAAUGGAAACUGAGUGAAAGGAGCGUCCGGUGACCGGGACCAUCCGAGAUGUGGGUUCUGCACAACACCCAGGAGCUGCAGGCGCCCAUCAUGGGGAGUGGGGAGGGGGCUGGGGAGGAGCCCACCAAGCGGGGGCCUUUUGAUUUCAUCAGCAACAUCUUCAAGCGGAGGAAGGAUGUGGGGGAGGACAUGGAGGAACAUGAGGUGAUGAACGCCGCGUCGCAGCGACCCCUGCACACUCCCCCGUGUCUGGGGGGUAACAAGUCCCCCUCCCCCUCCUUCCUGGGGGUUCGAUCCCCCAACAGACUGUCGCGCUCAUCAACCCCUGCCCACCUCACAUCCCCCGCCCACACAACAUCCCCAUCCCCAAAGGGUUGUGACCCCUGCUCCCCUCUAGAUCUGCUAACCUCCUCCCCCCAACUCCCGACCUCCCCUGGGGGUGACGGGAGCUCUGAUGCCUCGCACCACGCGCUGUCGUGCAGCCUUGAGGACUGGCAGGCCAUCGAGGCCAUACGCCUCUCACGCCAGGACAACCCUUACUUGCAGCGCGUGGCGGGGUCGCAGGCAUCGCUAACGGACCUCGACGACCCCCUGGGGGGCGGCGACCCCCUGGAGGAGGACCGCGCCCACCUCGUGGGCAGGGUGGGGGACCAGGAUGGGUUGUCCCUCUCCGAGGUGCACGAGCACCUCAUACGCUCCCCGCCCCCCACCUCGCUCCCCAAGGGGGUUCCUGUGGGGGUCUUCGUCUUCCCCACGGGCGUCGCGGACGUCAAGCAGGGGGCGCAGGGGGGCGGCGCCCUGGGGGGACGGGCGGUCUCCCUGAACCCGUUGGUGGCCCGUGGCCACGAGGACGUCCUGGACGUCAACCUCCGCCAGAUCCUCGACACCCAGAAGCAGCUGCACGUCCCCAAACACGACGGGGGGAGCAGCAGCGUGCCGGGCUCCCCCGCGCGGGGGGGAGGGGGGGUGAGCAGUCAGGCUAGGGGAGGCCGCUCCCCAACUGACGAGGCUGCGACACCAAUCCCCACCGCUGGCUCAAGUUUGAACAGCAGCCUAGGAAGUUUUCUCUGUAGUGGCCGCCCGACAAGUUUCAGUCCCUUGUCGGGUGGCGGGAACCUGGCGGGUGGCGGGAACCUGGCGGGUGCCCCCAGCAGCACAGCACCCCUCGCACCCCUCAUGCCCCCCGGUAGGAGACAGGCGCCCCUGGGGCGCAGUGAGGGGCCCAGGGACGCUGCCCCUCCUGACAUAGUCGCAGCAUCGCCAGCGCUGCUGCCCAUCUUGCCGAAGACCAAGAGAAGCAUGUCGUCGACGCGGUCUCAGGUGCACUCGGUGUCGGCGGCGAUGGUGUCGUGCUCGUCUACCCUAACGCUGCCCAUCCGCUGCCCUCACGCGCCCGCCCCUCCAAGGUUACCUCACGACCCUCACUCUUCAGCUCCUCGAUCUGGCCUAAUGGAUCCUCUCAAGCUCUCAGCCUCUAGGAUGAACACUAAAAUUAUUAGGACUUCUCAUAAGUCGAACUCUGCGUCUCUGCUUCUUCAGCUCAACGCUGAUAAAGAAAGUCAAUCUGCAGGCAGCGCCGACGACCGUCUGAAUUUUGACCGAUCUUUGGUUAGGGGAACGGACAUGAAGAUCAGAGUUGGUGGCACACAAUCCCUGGUAGUGCACCCUGGAGAGGGCAAGUUGGUAGAAGGAGGCGGUGUGGCGGCUUUCAGUUCUACAAUGUCCCUUCCCUCGUGAAACUGGCUUCCCUCAUCUAUGUUGAGUUGACCAAACACUUACUGUAUCACUGCUGUACUAGCAUCACUUACUUUGUGCAGAACUAGAAUCGUCCAUAUGAAUUGAUAUUCGUUCUUAUUAGGAAUGGAAACAAUGAGUAAAAUAAGAAUGUUACAAUUGGCUGUUCGUCAUGAACAGUGGAACUCUCUCUUAUACUCGUACGAAAAAUAUGUGAAAUAAACCUGGAAUUCUGAAAAAUCGGACAUGUGUACGAACUUUUUCUAGAAAUUAAAAUCAUCUCAUCUUUUUCUCGGAACCGAUUUUCUGUUUCUGCUUCAAUUGUUCACUUUGCCGGUUCAUUUCGUCAUGAGCAUCUUGUAUUGUUUUUUUUUUUAUUUAUUUUAAGGAUGAAUGAAAAAACUACUUCAAGUGUUAUUUGCCAUUGUGAUUGUACGUUAGAUGCUUUUGGCAUCGGAACCUUGUAACGCAACUAUUGAAGCUUGUACGUAGUGGUACAACUGUCUAUCGACAUGUUGGUUGAUGCCAAAAUUUAAUUUAAUAUUCGUUGUUCCCUUCGUGAUCAAGCUCUUCAUUGGUAUAAUAACAAUGCCAUCAUUAUAGCGCCAUGUCAUGUGAACCAAUAUUUCAUGCUCUGUGAAACCAUACGAGUACGUGCCAUGUUCGUGAUGCCUUUGAUAGGUUAGAAGAAUUUCAGUGAAUUGGUUAAUGUAGAGCCGAGCCCUUACUAAGUGAUGCUCGUAAUGGCUCCUUUGGUGACGGUUCUGGGAGUGAAAAUUCUGUCAAAUUAUGAGUAGCAAUUUCAAGUUUGAUUUGACACAGGCUUAUCAAGAGCCGUAUAGCAUUCAAGAGCUUCCGUUUGCUCUAUCAUUUGUAUUCCUAUUUCCAAAGUAUCCACGCGUUUGGGUUGAAGAAAAACUUGCAUUGUAACAUGACGUAAGGGCAGUGCAUGCUGCACGAUCCUUCUUAACCCUUUCCCCACUGACGGGACUCACAAGUCCCGCCUCAAGUUUCACGCUCUAAAAUACAUACAACAAGGAAUUUUAGGUCCAGGCACCUAACGGGACUCCUACGUUCGUUUAUACACCUCAAGAAAAUUACGAAUUGGCAACCGGCUCACCCAGUGAGAUUUCUAAGGCAAUUGCAUCAGCCGGCUGAGAAUGACAACUUGAGCACUUCUUCCUGAAACAUGGCCAAUCGGUCAUUGGAAGCCGAUGAAAUACUUCAUCUGUAGGACGAAAUUGAUACUGACAUUCACGAAGAUACCGACAUUGACUGAUUGAGCCUGAUGAUCAAGACCCACAGAAACCAUUCAUAUCGUGUACAGAUUAGAUGCGGAAGCCGAAGUUGAAUCCAUUAUCAUUGAAUUGGAUGUACAAGUCGAGAUUAUACCUACUGAUGCAGCUUCUGAGACUCCAGUGAUAGGUGUACAUCCACGAAAAUGGAGAAAAAAGAAGAAAAAUCAAUUGUCCAUGAGUUUGUCGCGCAUCCCAAACUAAGUCAUGAAUUUGCAUGCGCCCUCGAUGUUUUUCGCAUUUUUUUAUGAGAAUCUUCUUGAUAUGAUUCACUUCCAGACUAAUUUGAAAAGUGUACAAAAGGGGAAGCCUGCUUCUGUGACAAAAAAUGAAAUAAACGUAUUCAUUGGAAUCAACAUUGUGAUGGGCAGCAUGGGCUACAAUAGAAGAAAUCAGCUCUGACAUUAUUGGUCCUCAUCUCAAGAUAUGAGUGUACCUAUCAUUCAAGCAGCAAUGUCUCGUGACCGUUUCGUUGAAAUUCUAGGAUGUCUGCAUCUAAACGACAAUGCAAAACUGAAUGAAAAAAAGCACGACGUGUUAUUCAAAUUGAGACCGUAUCUUGAAAAAUUAAAUGAACGAUUUUCCACAGUAAAUAAUCCUCUAGAAUUAUUGUCUGUGGAGGAGUCCAUGAUCAAAUUCAAGAGAAGGAGCUCUCUGAAGCAAUACAUCCCAAUGUAACCCAUAAAGCGAGGAUACAUAUAAUGGUGUCUCGCUGAUAACUCUGGAUACAUACACAAGUUUUUCAUUUAUUGUGGAAAGCGGCAGCCAGGUGAUGAAAUGGUCAAUAAUAACCUUGGCCUUGGUGGAAACAUUGUUACAUCUCUUGCCGCAUCAUUGAAGAACCGCUUCCGCAAGCUCUAUUUCGAUAACUUUUUUUCAUCUAUUCCCCUGCUUGAAACCUUGAAGACCAUGAACAUAAAUGCAUGUGGUACAAUCGUCCAACUCGCAAAGACUUCCCUUGUUAUCUACUGAUAAAGAAUUGAAACGAGGAAACUUCGAUUACCGCAGUACUCCUGCAGGAAUAACAGUUUACAAGUGGAAGGAUACAAAACCAGUACAUUUCAUUUCCAACUACCACGGAGUUGAAGCUUCUACUGUGCAAAGGAAGGACAAAACUGGCACAAAAACGGUCGUCACCUGUCCAAUGGUGGCAAAAGAUAAUAAUAAACACAUGGGAGUGUUGAUAAACAUAUGACAUGCUAAGGCAAAUCUAUGGCAUCAAUAGGAAGAGCUUGAAAUGGUGGCAUCGCAUAUUCUUCGGACUUCUAGAUAUGACAAUCGUGAACAGCUUCCUCAUUCACAAGGAACAUUGUCAAUCUGCCAUUUCCCUCUUGGACUAUCGACAAGAAAUAGCAUGAGAACGCCUGGCAUAUACAGAACAUUCAUGCACCCAUCAUGCCAAGAGGAAAAAAGGAAAAUUCUCGACACCGGACUCCGUGCGGUUGAGCAUCCCUGGAAAUCACUGGCCCCUGUUCACAAACAUUCGUGGUCGUUGUGAAGUUUGUUCCCUGGAUAAAGUGGAAUCACGUCCAUUAUCCAAAUGUUCUCAAUGUAGCGUUCAUCUUUGUUGCAACGUCAAAAAACUGUUUUGGCGAGUUUCACAAGUAGCUAGGGAAGCGUGCAAAUGCGCGUGCGAUAAAGGAAAUAUGAUGUAUUCAGUUAUGAUUUUAUCUCACCUUGUCACAUAAGCCAAAGUUAUUAUUCUACGUCAUAAAUUAUUAUUUCAUUCAGAUUAUUUUUUUCUAUAUACUUACUGAUAAUAAAUAUCUGAUUAGCUCUUACACUGUAUCAAUUGUAUCAGCAGAGCAAAAAAAUCAGCUACUUUUUAUGCUGAAAAGCUAUUAUUUUAUUUGUUUUUUUUUUGUGUUAAUUCUGUAAGU